rnacentral:rRNA from 1 species
CUACGGGGGGCACCAGUGAGGAAUAUUGCACAAUGGGGGGAACCCUGAUGUAGCAACGCCGCGUGGAGGAUGACGCAUUUCGGUGUGUAAACUCCUUUUAUAUGUCAAGAAAAUGACGGUAGCAUAUGAAUAAGCACCGGCUAACUCCGUGCCAGCAGCCGCGGUAAUACGGAGGGUGCAAGCGUUACUCGGAAUCACUGGGCGUAAGGGACGCGUAGGCGGGUUGGAAAGUCAGGUGUGAAAUCCUACAGCUUAACUGUAGAACUGCACUUGAAACUUCUAAUCUAGAGUAUGGGAGGGGGAGAUGGAAUUAGUGGUGUAGGGGUAAAAUCCGUAGAUAUCACUAGGAAUACCUAAAGCGAAGGCGAUCUCCUGGAACAUUACUGACGCUAAGGCGUGAAAGCGUGGGGAGCAAACAGGAUUAGAUACCCCUGUAGUC